CCCUUAGUGCGCUCUCUAAGUAACUAUGAAGCAAGAUGGCCGACACCAGCAUGAGUGAGACACCAGCGGACACACAAAUCGGAAACGGCGACUCAGCAGAAAGUCUCAGCGAGGAAGUAAAGAAGAAGGCUGAUGAACUAAAAGACAAAGCUAACGAAUUCUUCAAAAAUGGGGAUUACUCCCAGGCUAUAACUUAUUACACACAGGCAAUAGAGCUCAACCCGUACGUGGCGGCUUAUUACGGCAACCGCAGCUUUGCUCAUCUCCGGACGGAGAGUUUUGGUUACGCGCUGAGCGAUGCCUCCAAAGCUUUACAGAUCGACAGAAAUUAUGUCAAGGCUUACUAUAGACGGGCGUCUGCCAAUAUGGCUCUGGGGAAGUUCAAAGUUGCUCUCAAAGAUUUUGAAUCAGUGAUAAAAGUGCGGCCGAAUGACAAAGAUGCGAAAGCUAAGUACAGCGAGUGUAAGAAAAUUGUCCAGAUGCAGGCUUUUCAGAAAGCGAUAGCCGUGGAGGAAAAUCACAAAUCAGUGGCCGACAGCAUCGAUCUGGGCUCCAUGAGUAUAGAGGAUGAUUACCAGGGGCCUCGAUUCGAGGACGGCAAGGUGACGCUACAGUUUGUCAAGGAUCUCAUGCAAACCUUCAAGGAACAAAAGAAACUCCACAGAAAAUAUGCUUAUCAGAUUCUAGUCGAAGUAAAAAAGUUCUUUGUAAAACAACCAAGUCUAGUGGAUAUUACAGUGCCAAAGGGGGAGAAGUUUACAGUAUGUGGAGAUAUUCAUGGUCAAUUCUACGACUUGUUAAAUAUAUUUGAUCUCAAUGGUCUACCCUCAGAAGAAAACCCUUAUUUAUUUAACGGUGACUUUGUGGAUCGAGGGUCCUUCUCAGUGGAGUGUGUCAUUGUCUUGUUUUGUUUUAAACUUUUAUUUCCCAAUCAUUUUUUCAUGGCCAGAGGUAACCAUGAGAGUAUAACGAUGAAUCAGAUGUAUGGUUUUGAGGGAGAAGUAAAGUCCAAAUAUACGUCACAAAUGGCCGAUCUAUUUACAGAGAUAUUCAACUGGCUACCAUUAGCACACUGUAUAAACAACAAAAUUUUAGUUAUGCACGGUGGUUUGUUUAAAGAUGACAAUGUGACUCUGGAUGAUCUCAGGAAAAUCGACAGAAACAGACAGCCACCUGAAUCAGGUUUAAUGUGUGAGCUUCUGUGGUCCGAUCCUCAACCAAUGUCUGGUCGGGCCGAGAGUAAGCGUGGGGUGGGAACCAUGUUUGGACCUGACGUCACGAGAAAGUUUCUGGAACGGAACAAUUUGGUGUACGUUAUACGAAGUCACGAGGUUAAGCCGGAGGGAUAUGAGGUCUCUCACGAUGGGAAAUGUAUAACUGUCUUCUCAGCACCUAAUUACUGUGAUACAAUGGGGAACAAAGGGGCCUUUAUGACCUUGAGAGGAGAUGACCUUACACCUAAGUUUACAUCAUUUGAUGCUGUGCCACACCCUAAUGUUAAACCUAUGGCCUAUGCAAACAACCUGUUUGGAUUGUUUUAAUCUUCAUAGAAGGAAAAGAACUGACCACCUGUAACUUAUAAAGUACCUCAUGGGUUUAUCACUCAAUGUCAUAGAAACCAUAUAAUCCACAUUAUGCACAUUAUAAAUCAGUCUUUUAAAGACAGCAUCAUCAAUGUGCAGGCAUUGAACCUGAAGUAAUUUAAAAUUAUAAAGAUUAAGCUAAAUUGAGAGUUAAGCGAUCAUUACAAGUAGAGGUCUUGGAUAAAUAUAGUCCAUCAAAGUUAACAGCUAUAUAAAUGACCAGGACAAACUAUUCUAGGUAAACCAGAAAUAAUUUGUCCAAAAACACUGUUCAUAGCUACAUAUUUGUGGCAGCUGAUAUUUUAUUGUCAGGAAAUGCAAGUUUUAAUAAAAUGAUAAAAA